UUCGCCCUUAGAGUUUGAUCCUGGCUCAGGACGAACGCUGGCGGCGUGCUUAACACAUGCAAGUCGAACGGGGAUUAUUUUGACAGAGACUUCGGUUGAAGUCGUUAUAAUCCUAGUGGCGGACGGGUGAGUAACGCGUGGGUAACCUGCCUCACACUGGGGGAUAACAGUCAGAAAUGACUGCUAAUACCGCAUAAGCGCACGGGAUUGCAUGAUCCAGUGUGAAAAACUCCGGUGGUGUGAGAUGGACCCGCGUUGGAUUAGCCAGUUGGCAGGGUAACGGCCUACCAAAGCGACGAUCCAUAGCCGGCCUGAGAGGGUGGACGGCCACAUUGGGACUGAGACACGGCCCAGACUCCUACGGGAGGCAGCAGUGGGGGAUAUUGCACAAUGGGGGAAACCCUGAUGCAGCGACGCCGCGUGGAGGAAGAAGGUUUUCGGAUUGUAAACUCCUGUCGUUAGGGACGAUAAUGACGGUACCUAACAAGAAAGCACCGGCUAACUACGUGCCAGCAGCCGCGGUAAAACGUAGGGUGCAAGCGUUGUCCGGAAUUACUGGGUGUAAAGGGAGCGCAGGCGGGAAGACAAGUUGGAAGUGAAAACCAUGGGCUCAACCCAUGAAUUGCUUUCAAAACUGUUUUUCUUGAGUAGUGCAGAGGUAGAUGGAAUUCCCGGUGUAGCGGUGGAAUGCGUAGAUAUCGGGAGGAACACCAGUGGCGAAGGCGGUCUACUGGGCACCAACUGACGCUGAGGCUCGAAAGCAUGGGUAGCAAACAGGAUUAGAUACCCUGGUAGUCCAUGCCGUAAACGAUGAUUACUAGGUGUUGGAGGAUUGACCCCUUCAGUGCCGCAGUUAACACAAUAAGUAAUCCACCUGGGGAGUACGACCGCAAGGUUGAAACUCAAAGGAAUUGACGGGGGCCCGCACAAGCAGUGGAUUAUGUGGUUUAAUUCGAAGCAACGCGAAGAACCUUACCAGGGCUUGACAUCCAACUAACGAGGUAGAGAUACGUUAGGUGCCCUUCGGGGAAAGUUGAGACAGGUGGUGCAUGGUUGUCGUCAGCUCGUGUCGUGAGAUGUUGGGUUAAGUCCCGCAACGAGCGCAACCCUUAUUGUUAGUUGCUACGCAAGAGCACUCUAGCGAGACUGCCGUUGACAAAACGGAGGAAGGUGGGGAUGACGUCAAAUCAUCAUGCCCCUUAUGUCCUGGGCUACACACGUAAUACAAUGGCGGUCAACAGAGGGAUGCAAAACCGUAAGGUGGAGCGAACCCCUAAAAGCCGUCUCAGUUCAGAUUGUGGGCUGCAACCCGCCCACAUGAAGUCGGAAUCGCUAGUAAUCGCGGAUCAGCAUGCCGCGGUGAAUACGUUCCCGGGCCUUGCACACACCGCCCGUCA
rnacentral:rRNA from 1 species